UACGGGGGGGGCAAGCGUUGUUCGGAAUUACUGGGCGUAAAGGGCUCGUAGGCGGCCAACUAAGUCAGACGUGAAAUCCCUCGGCUUAACCGGGGAACUGCGUCUGAUACUGGAUGGCUUGAGUUUGGGAGAGGGAUGCGGAAUUCCAGGUGUAGCGGUGAAAUGCGUAGAUAUCUGGAGGAACACCGGUGGCGAAGGCGGCAUCCUGGACCAGCACUGACGCUGAGGAGCGAAAGCCAGGGGAGCAAACGGG
rnacentral:rRNA from 1 species